AGCUGCUAUAAAAUUUCAAUAACAAUUAAAACAAAUAUUACAGGGAUAACACACAUACGAACACCUUGGACUAUCAACUUGAUGUUGUAACUUGUUACACUAUAGUUACAUUUUGACUAACUAAGGGAUCUAAGUGCUAAUCUUCUAAACUUUAGGUGCUAAAUCGACCACUACAUUCUACUCAAGUUCAGCUAGUAGCCGCCAUCAGUAGUGCAAUCAAUGGAGUCCAAAGUCCUCCCAAUUGCUCAGUCGCCGGCGCCGUCACCUCCUACCUUUUCCGACAAAGCCAAGGACUUUAACCUUCAAAAUCCGGCUGCAAAAUCUCCGGCGCCGUCAAUAACGCCGUCGACGCCGUUAUCUGUACAAGAUAUACGGCGAUGGAAACCGGCGGCGCAACGUAACCUGAGAAACCAAUGGUCGAAGUUAGCUUCUCUACAGACUCAAUGGCUUUCCUUAUCAUCUACUGCUCGAUCAUACGCCAGUAAUGUAGUAAAUUCUUAUCUCUCCCAAAGGUAUAUGGAUGCAAUGGAGUUAGGUGUAUUGACAGAGAUGCCUGAUAUACGUAAAAAAGCAUGUAGUAAAUUGUUGAGGCAGCAGGUGACUAAUAGGAGUAAGCUCUUGUCAUCUUACAAAGAUAUGGUUGCUGUUGUAACUCAGAUGGUCAAUGUUUCUAAAUCUAUGAGGUGUUAUCUGAAAGGAUCAAGUGGCACCUCAGUUACUGAGUUUUCUUGCUUCCCUGGAAAUCAGAAUGACACUGGUGAUUGUGAUGGAAUUCCUGUUUUCACCUUUUGGUCAAUCUUUGAUUUCGAGAAACUGGCAGAGGAGCUGGUCCAGAUGUUUGUGUCAGAAACAAGUAUAAAGCGGUUGCUAGUGAUGGAAAUAUGCUCCAUCGGGGCCGAGGAUUUUUCACAAGUCGAGAGGCUGAAAUGGAAUGAUCAUUUCUAUGUUGGAGAGUUUGAUGAUCUAUGCAUAUGUAAGUCAAGCUCAAAUGAGGUUGUUAAGCAACUCGUGCCCAGGGUAGAGAGCUGCAAUUUUCAGUCUACCAGCAUGCAAUCAAGUAGUCAAUUAGAGAGGAGCAUUCUCCAGGUUUACUUAACCACCUGGAUUACAGAAGUCAAUGUUGAUAGAUUCAGGAUAGGUGAAUUACUUACCAUAGCAGGUGAGGAGAUGCAUGUUGUCAUAUCAUGAAGCCUCAACUACCCAGGUAGGUGAACAAUGGUGAAAAAAAUGCUCCAUGUACCUAAAGAGAACGGAAUGGAUACAAAGGAUUCACAUGGACGACCCCAACUAAAUUGACGUUGAGGCGUAUAUACACAUAUAAUGCUUGAUGGAUCUAGUCGUCAAUGAGGUGGAUACAGUUCAAGAAGAUACAAAAACUGACUUAAGCUGGGAUUUAGACAGUGAAGUUAUCGACAAGGAACCGUCCAACUUACAAACAACACUACUGCUCAAGUCGAGAUAUGGGCUUCCAUACAGUAACAAGAAGCAAAAAGAUGUACAGAAAGUAGCAUAUUUCUAAAUUCAUGCAUAAAGAUCUUUACUUUGACAUUUACAGUGAUCUUUAUCCUUUCUUUUCUUAUUUUUCAAUAAGUUUUUGGCAAAAACACACACUUUGACAAAUAGCCUCUCUCAGGGUUAGCGAUAUGAGUACACCAGCCCGUGUGGUGGUAGCGGGCGAACUAAGGAUUUCGUGCUUGCGAGGAAGCGUGUGCAAAUGGGUGAACGCAUCACCAGCCAAGCUAGUCACUUGGAACAUAGGGGUUUUCAAUCCCUGAGCUUCUGGGCCUUGAGAACCGACUUGGGAAUAAUGUAACGAGCAGAUGCAACGAGAUUGAACGAACAAAUACAGCUCCAAAACAGUUGCAAAUUGUAAUUAAGUAAAUUAAUAGCUACUAAUUAUAAUUACAAUCCAAAACUGUAGCUGUUCAUAAAAUUUCCUCAUUUUUCAUCUACGACUAA